rnacentral:lncRNA from 12 species
GUUUACUACUCAUCAGCUCUAGUUAUGCUCCACACUGCCUUCACCCCAGGACUCAGGGUGAAGGAGCAUUGUUUCCUUACUCUCCUGAUGCUGCUCAUCUUGUAACGAAGAAGUCAGUGAUGGGCCACUGCUUCCUAUCUCAAAUCUCUAAAUAUCACACAUAUACUGCUGUGAAGGUCCAAAGAUGAACAAGAAGAGGAAACGCUUAAUA